GUGGCAGCAGCCGCGGUAAUACGAAGGGGGCUAGCGUUGUUCGGAAUUACUGGGCGUAAAGGGCGCGUAGGCGGCCUGUUUAGUCAGAAGUGAAAGCCCCGGGCUCAACCUGGGAAUAGCUUUUGAUACUGGCAGGCUUGAGUUCCGGAGAGGAUGGUGGAAUUCCCAGUGUAGAGGUGAAAUUCGUAGAUAUUGGGAAGAACACCGGUGGCGAAGGCGGCCAUCUGGACGGACACUGACGCUGAGGCGCGAAAGCGUGGGGAGCAAACAGGAUUAGAUACCCGAGUAGUC
rnacentral:rRNA from 1 species